rnacentral:rRNA from 1 species
UACGUAGGGGGCAAGCGUUGUCCGGAUUUAUUGGGCGUAAAGAGCGUGUAGGCGGCUUGGCAAGUCCGCUGUGAAAACUCGAGGCUUAACCUCGAGACGUCGGUGGAAACUGCCUGGCUAGAGUCCGGAAGAGGAGAGUGGAAUUCCUGGUGUAGCGGUGAAAUGCGCAGAUAUCAGGAAGAACACCCGUGGCUAAGGCGGCUCUCUAGUACGGUACUGACGCUGCGACGCGAAAGCGUGGGGAGCGAACAGG